CCUACGGGAGGCAGCAGUGAGGAAUAUUGGUCAAUGGCCGGAAGGCUGAACCAGCCAAGCCGCGUGAAGGACGACGGUGCUAAGCAUUGUAAACUUCUUUUGUCAAGGGACAAAAUCAGGCUCGAGAGCCUGACCGAGGGUACUUGAAGAAAAAGCAUCGGCUAACUCCGUGCCCGCAGCCGCGGUAAUACGGAGGAUGCGAGCGUUAUCCGGAUUUAUUGGGUUUAAAGGGUGCGUAGGCGGACUGUUAAGUCAGCGGUAAAAGGCCGGGGCUCAACCCCGGCGAGCCGUUGAAACUGGGGGUGUUGAGAGGGCGAGAAGUAUGCGGAAGGCGCGGUGUAGCGGUGAAAUGCUUAGAUAUCGCGCAGAACUCCGAUUGCGAAGGCAGCAUACCGGCGGCCGACUGACGCUGAGGCACGAAAGCGUGGGGAUCGAACAGGAUUAGAUACCCGAGUAGUC
rnacentral:rRNA from 1 species